GUCACAACAGUCCUGAUGGGUAGGUAUUGUUCUUCACAUUUUAGAGAUGGGAAGACUGAGGCUGGAAGACUAAGGCUGUGUAUGACACAUGAGUGAAUGACAAGUUGAUUCAUGCCCUUUCCACUGUAACAUGCUGCCUUGAAGAGAGAAACAUAUUCCAAGACGAUCCUCAAGAGCCAGUAUGAGAGCAAACAAUGCCUGAAAGACAGCUCAGUUUGGAAGAGUUUCUUCCUUCAGGAAAUGCUAUUUUGUCAGGAGAAUUGCAGAUUUUGAUGCCAAAGAAGUCUUUUGGUGAAGAAGUAGGAGUUCCUGGAUGAAGAUAAAGUGAGUACUCCCCGGAGCUGCUUCUGCCAGUGUCCUAGUCCCCAUAAUGAGCCACACCCAUCCCCUCCCUCCACAGGAGACCUUCUGAUACCAGCAGGUAAGUCUGGCCCAGUCUUUUAUGAGGU
rnacentral:lncRNA from 1 species